rnacentral:lncRNA from 1 species
UCAAAAUCAAAUAAAAUCCAAACCACAUCAUAUCUUAUUUUACAGGCCAUCGACUUGCUACCCACAAAACUGGCAACACCGUACCAAGCUUCAAAUUUUAUCCCCAAAUUCAAUAAUUGGCAACACCAACCAACCAAUAUGAAAUUGAGAGAGAAUGGUGAUGAGAAAACAGCUUUCAUAAUUACGUCCGUAGAUAAUUUUGGAUUUUCUUAUUACUUUUAUUGGAUUUUGUUGUUCUCUCUCUGUGUGGAAGUUUCAAUGUAAUUAAUGGUUUUGUAGUAUUUUGAGUCAAGAUUGGUGAAUUGCCUUCUCUUUUAAUUGAUCAACUAUGAAAGAUUGUGAUAAGAUUUUGAGGUUCAUACUAUACUAGAGAGUCACUAUCAAGGGUAGACUAGAGUGUUCCAGUUCAAUACAAACAUGGUAAACAUUACUCUCUCUUUCUUUCUCUCUCUGGUUUUUUGUAUGAAAAAUAUUUAGGGUGAUGGAAUGAUGUUUCAGUUCAAGAUCUAUUUUUUACUACCAAAUCAAACCUUGAAGUUAGUUUUAGUGGCUUUUUAAUUAACUGUGAAUGAAACGGUUGAUAUACUAGUAUAUACCGGGAAUAAAGUCAGCAGAAACUAGAGAAUGGUGUUUCCAGAUCUAUAUCUAGUUUUUAUAUGUUUUAAAGUUAAGUGCAUAAGUAGUAGUAGUAAGGAUUGAGAAAUAUGUAUAUUUAAUUGAAUGUGUAGAUAGAUAGAUAUAUGAAACAAGAUGAUGUUCCAACAAUAUAUGACACAUUUUUGAGCUUCUGGACUGAAUUGGCCAAAUAAUAAUGAAACCAACCACCCAACUCUCACUCUAGUAAGAACACUUAGCUUGGAUAGCAAGUGUUUUCACUAUACCUGGGCAACCAUCUACACCAUUUCCGUUCAAAUUUGAACCACUCACACUAACCAUACAUUCUUUUUUCCCCAAGCAUUCCUUCUCAACAAUGCUCUUCGUAGGACCAGCAUUACAAUUGCCAAGACUAAACUUUCCACAGUAACCAGAAGGGUCACCGAAGCUUGCAAACUCCACAGCUACAAUCUUUUUACCGCUUGGACAUUUGAGUGAAGCUUGUGGUCCAGCAACACCUUUCACAACAGAACGGAAUUGUCCGUGUCUAGAUACCCACGAAUUCACAUUAGCAGGUUCGUUCUCUGCAAUGUGACUGCAGAUUGUAUCUCUGUCAACAUUCAAUAUCUCAAUCUUAUCUGGACACGCGUUCUCCUCUUCCAAUACAACAAGCAAAUUGUCUUUACCGUUGAUGUUGAGGUAAGAUUUUGGGAUGUGGUACUCUGCUUGAGUGGGAUGUCCAAGAGGAGAAAGGAAUGUCAUCCAGUGACGACCAAUGCUUUGACCGUUCACCCAAAUCAUUCCCUUUCCCAUACCAGUCAUCCUUAUGGCAACAGGACCCCUACCCUCCGGUGUGGCAAAUCUUGUUUUAAACCACGAGAGAGCACGUGCUUGUCCUACGGAUGGACUCCACUCCACCUUCUUUGAUCCUUCCUCGGAGAAAAUUUGAAGUUGUUCGCCUUUGAGACCAACCUGCAAAUUGAAUUGAAUUGAAUUAUAUAUUAUGCCAUUUAUAUAUUUAUAGUAACAAUGAAUGAAUGAUUUAGAUUAUUACCCGGUUACCCCAGCCGUUUUCAGAGAGAUCAAUUGUUCCGGUGUUGAGACCAAGGACGGAUAUGGACUUGGGUCCGGCAUACCUGUGUUCCAUGUAAGCUCCACUGUCC